rnacentral:rRNA from 1 species
CUCUGGCCAGACCUCACCGGCCCUCUCAGCCACCACAGCCGGCGCUAUCACCACCUUCUCUCCCACCCUAGUCUCCCUCCCUUCUCUCCCACCCUAGUCUCCCUCCCUUCUCUCUCCGUUCAUGCGUGCACCAUCACCAAUUACAUCCGGUUUCUCCUCGACCCCGAUCAGGACAAUUAUCACCGGUGGCGCCAUCUCUUCUUGUCCGUCGCCUUGAAGUACAACGGCCUCGACCACCUCGAUGCGGCGCGGGCCUCCCUCGUGGACACUGCCGAUCCCGAGUGGCGUCGCGCUGACGUCUCCGUCCAGCUGUGGUUCCACGCCACGGUCGUCAACUCGCUGCUCGACGUCGUCGUGACGGAUGACGCCACAGCUCUCACCAUCUGGGAGCGCCUGGAGCGGUUCUUCCUCGCCAAUCGGGCCUCCCGGUCUGUUCAGCUCAGCCGGCAAUUUCGCAACUUACAGCAGGGUGAUCUGUCGAUCGCUGAGUACACCCGCCGGCUGAAGAACCUUGCCACCGCCCUGGGCGAUGUCGGCAAGCCCGUCUCCGAC